UGCAUAUCCCAUAAGCGGAGGAAAAGAAACCAACAGGGAUUGCCCUAGUAACGGCGAGUGAAGCGGCAACAGCUCAAAUUUGAAAUCUGGCCCUCGGGUCCGAGUUGUAAUUUGUAGAGGAUGCUUUUGGUGCGGUGCCUUCCGAGUUCCCUGGAACGGGACGCCAUAGAGGGUGAGAGCCCCGUCUGGUUGGACGCCAAUCCUCUGUAAAGCUCCUUCGACGAGUCGAGUAGUUUGGGAAUGCUGCUCUAAAUGGGAGGUAUAUGUCUUCUAAAGCUAAAUAUUGGCCAGAGACCGAUAGCGCACAAGUAGAGUGAUCGAAAGAUGAAAAGCMCUUUGAAAAGAGAGUUAAAAAGUACGUGAAAUUGUUGAAAGGGAAGCGCUCAUGACCAGACUUGGGCUUGGUAGAUCAACCUGGGUUCUCCCUGGUGCACUCUUCCUCGUUCAGGCCAGCAUCAGUUCGCUGCGGGGGAUAAAGGUUUCGGGAAUGUGGCUCCCUCGGGAGUGUUAUAGCCCGUUGCGUAAUACCCUGCGGUGGACUGAGGUUCGCGUUCUGCAAGGAUGCUGGCGUAAUGGUCAUCAGUGACCCGUCUUGA
rnacentral:rRNA from 1 species